rnacentral:rRNA from 1 species
UACGGAGGAUGCAAGCGUUAUCCGGAAUGAUUGGGCGUAAAGCGUCCGCAGGUGGCUAUGUAAGUCUGCUGUUAAAGAGUGAGGCUCAACCUCAUAAAAGCAGUGGAAACUACAUGGCUAGAGUGCGUUCGGGGCAGAGGGAAUUCCUGGUGUAGCGGUGAAAUGCGUAGAUAUCAGGAAGAACACCGGUGGCGAAAGCGCUCUGCUAGGCCGCAACUGACACUGAGGGACGAAAGCUAAGGGGAGCGAAUGGG